GUCUGUAUCGCUCGAAGUUUCCUCUGCAUGUCUGAGCUGCCAAAGUGAUGCCUGUAGAAAACAUCAAUGGACAGUGAACAGUGAAAAUCGCAAGUCAUCAUAAAGCUUAUUAAGUAGAACGGAGCAGCUCAUGGGAGUGUUGUCUGUGAGCGGCAGUCCACCCUCGACCUCAGGAACAGUUCCUGCUACUUCUAGAAUCUUUUUUAAUCCUAAAAGGAAAACCAUGGAAGAAUCAGUGAUUUCCACUGGGGAAAAAACCCGUCCACACUAAAUGUCAAAUGCGAGGAGAUCUCGUGAUCAAACACUGUCAAACUUACCCUGGUCGAUGACCCACAGUGUGAGCGAGUUGUCUGGGUUUUUCAAAGAUUUUCGCGGCACCUGUUUGACCAGCAGGUUGAUGGCGCUGUCACGGCCGGCUCCAGACACGCUGGAUGCAGGGAGCAUUUCAAUUAGAUGACGCAACAUGGAACGCAGCUCACGGGACGGUUCUGCAAUACAUACAAAGCAUUUUCAAAA